AAACGGUCCUGUAAGCAGUAGAGUACCUUGUUGUUACGAUCUGCUGAGGGUAAGCCGUCCUUCGCCUCGAUUUCCC
rnacentral:rRNA from 1 species